rnacentral:tRNA from 1 species
GCCGUUUUAGUUCAAUGGUAGAACGAAUCAAUGGUAAUGAUUAAAAAGCAGUCCGAUUCUGCUAAACGGCACCA